rnacentral:rRNA from 1 species
GCGUGCGCAGGCGGUUUUGUAAGACUGUCGUGAAAUCCCCGGGCUCAACCUGGGAAUGGCGAUGGUGACUGCAAGGCUAGAGUUUGGCAGAGGGGGGUAGAAUUCCACGUGUAGCAGUGAAAUGCGUAGAUAUGUGGAGGAACACCGAUGGCGAAGGCAGGGGCCCCCUGGGUCAAAACUGACGCUCAUGCACGAAAGCGUGGGGAGCAAACAGGAUUAGAUACCCUGGU